rnacentral:lncRNA from 1 species
UAUUUAUUUAAAAUUAAAAGAAAUUGCACUAUUUACAGUUUUAUAAAAUUUGGUCCACAUAAUCUCCCUGCAAAAUGAAACAAAAUGUCGGUUAAAAAAAUGGGGGUCCAUGCACUCGUUUUCAAAUUAAAUCAGCUUGAAUGAUAAAAAUCAGUCGAAAAAUGCAUCUUUUCCCGAUAUGUCACAGUUUGACGUCGCGAAAAUAACAUUUUACGU